rnacentral:rRNA from 1 species
UUAGUUGCCAUCAUUUGGUUGGGCACUCUAAUGAGACUGCCGGUGACAAACCGGAGGAAGGUGGGGGAUGACGUCAAGUCCUCAUGGCCCUUAUGGGUAGGGCUUCACACGUCAUACAAUGGUCGGUACAGAGGGUUGCCAACCCGCGAGGGGGAGCUAAUCCCACAAAGCCGAUCGUAGUCCGGAUCGCAGUCUGCAACUCGACUGCGUGAAGUCGGAAUCGCUAGUAAUCGUGGAUCAGCAUGUCACGGUGAAUACGUUCCCGGGUCUU